CUCUUAGCAGAACGAGAGCCAUAAUGGAUCAGGAAAUUCCAUCAAUGCACCCUGUCUCUCUUUAGUAGGGAGCCGAGGCACCCUUCUAUGACUCAGUCUUGUCACGUUACAGUAUGAGGAACUGCGCAAAAGCAGAUUGAAGCAAA